ensembl:lncRNA
CACAAAUAAAAUAACUCAGAGCCCCCAGUUAGGCACAUUUUAAUAUAUUGAGACAGAGGUUUGGAUUUAUGCCUGUAACCUAAUUUAAAAUUAUGCUUUUCUCUAGCUAACCUCAGGCCUCUUUAUAGUAGAGAUAAAAAAAAAUCUACUACCAGGAAGCAUUUAAUUAAAAGAAGCAGAAAGAGUAAAUUACCAUAUCUACUAAUGGACAGUCAUUGGAAGGGAAAGUUGGGAGAGCAGAUUUUUAAAAGAAUGUUCUUCAUUUCUUGUAUUGGUGAGACAUCUGAAAUACAAUCUGUCUACUCCUUUGCCUCAGAGAAGUUUGUGGUUUCAGAGACCUUUAAUCCUCUACUCCAUCUUCCACCUUUUUGCUUAAUGAACCUUCAACUAUGGUACCCUCAUUACCAGUAUUCAUUCACAAAGGAUGUAGAAGAGCAAACUCCAGAUUUUCUGUGAGAUCUGGGCCUAAUCAUACUCUGCAUUUACUACUGAUGCUACUAUCCAAUAAGAAUCAACUCCUAUCUAGAAUAGUCUGAUAUCCUUCUUUAUGAGUUUAAUUUAGAAAUGUACACUUUCAUAAUGAUCCUCAGAUAAGUUAGACUUCUAAAAGACAAUGACCUUGUCUUUCCCCUUUGACUGGCUUAUAUAUAAAUUUAUUUCUUCUUCCUUCACAAUCUCUCCAGCUAUGAGGUAUUUUUAUUUUGACUUAAUCCCGCUUCUCAGGCUCUAUCCCUAAAUAUCCUUUCUUUAUUACUUCAGUACUGCUCAAACAAAUUGAGGCUUUUUAAUAUUGAAGAUUUUUGUUCAUUUGUUUAAUAAUUAGCUCUGUUACUUGGCUAUUAUAUUUAUAAGUAAACUUGAGAUUAUUUAGAUCAAAUUCUGUAGAAUCUAUUCUGUUUCCAUUAUUUCUUGUCAAUUUUAUUUCCCAAUUUCCUGGCACAUGGCCAUCAAGGUUUUCAUUUGAUUUUUUUUUCAGGAAAUGCAAUAAUUACCAGAUUGUCCUGUUCUAUUUAGUCUUCAAGGUCAAUUCUUUUGACAUGUAGAAUUCUCAAUAAUUUUGAUUCUUUUAAGAUUUUUGCAGGUGUCCCAAUCCUGUCUAAGCUGUCAUAGCAGCAUUUGCCUUCUUCUGGGAAUUUUUUUUGCCUUAUUUUAUCCUCUAGCAUUUCUUAAUUGUAUUAUGUAAGCUUUUUAUUUCCUUUUUACUCCUUUUGAUUUAUUCAAUAGAAUUUUCUAUGUGAAGAUUUCUUUCCUUUGCCCUUGUGUUGUUAUGUUUGUUUUACUCUAGUGCAUAUCCUGUGAUGUUAAGGCUUUUGAAUGAGGGACAAACUUUUUUUUUUCAGUCAUCUUGCCAACAUUCCUAUAGGAUAUAAUUUAUAUAGAGUUAUAAUUAUAGAAUUAUGUUGGAUAAAGUAAGGACAGAUUUAUGAUUAGAAACACAAGAUCUUAUUUUAUGCUAUGAGGAAACACAAGACUUAAAAAUGGAAAGAAUGAAAAUUAAAAGAUUUCAGUUACUUAGAUAGAACAUGAAGAUAAUGAUAAUAGAUGAUAAAAAGACAGAAUUACUAAGCUAGGGAUCCUUCAGAUUCAGAUCUGCGAAUGAUGGCACAAAAAUGGUUGACAAGGAAUUAAAAUGCAAAGUAACUUAACAGAUAGCUAAAGAGCACUUCAUUAUUCCUAAUGAGUUCAUUUUUUAAAAAUUAAGUAUAUUUCAAUGUAUUAAAAAAAAAGAGAACAAGCAAAAAUAAAGCUAACAAAAGUGAUUACA